ACCUGAGUGGCUCAGUCAGUUGAGCAUCUGACUUCAACUCAGGUCAUGAUUUCACAGUUCAUGAGUUCAAGCCUCACAUCGGGCU
rnacentral:tRNA from 1 species